UCGGUAAUUCCAGCUCCAAUAGUGUAUAUUAAAGUUGUUGCAGUUAAAAAGCUCGUAGUUGAACUUCUGGCAGUGUGCAGAUUUGGUUUCGAUCAGUCUGUUCGCUGUCAUCCGUCUGCAAACCUUGUUCGUCCUUUACUGGUUCGGCAAGGGGAGUAGACAUUUUACUUUGAAAAAAUUAGAGUGUUUCAAGCAGGCUUUUGCCAGAAUACUUUAGCAUGGAAUAAUGGAAUAGGACUUCUGUCCAUUUGGUUGGUUAUUGGCCAGGAGUAAUGAUUAAUAGGGACAGUUGGGGGCAUUAGUAUUUAAUUGUCAGAGGUGAAAUUCAUGGAUUUAUUAAAGACUAACUUAUGCGAAAGCAUUUGUCAAGGAUGUUUUCAUUAAUCAAGAACGAAAGUUAGGGGAUCAAAGACGAUCAGAUACCGUCCUAGUCUUAACUAUAAACGAUGUCGACUCGGGAUUGGGAGGGUCAAUUUAUCCCUCUCAGCACCGUAUGAGAAAUCAUUAAGUCUUUGGAUUCUGGGGGGAGUAUGGUCGCAAGGCUGAAACUUAAAGGAAUUGACGGAAGAGCACCACCAGGCGUGGGACCUGCGGCUUAAUUUGACCCAACACGGGAAAACUUAUUUCAGCAAAACAUGAGUGGGAUUGACAGAUUGAGAGCUCUUUCUUGAUUUUAUGGGGUGUGGUGCAUGGCCGUUCUUAGUUGGUGGAGUGAUUUGUCUGGUUAAUUCCGUUAACGAACGAGACCUUAACCUGCUAACUAGUCAACUUGUGAUUAACGGGUUGUACUUCUUAGAGGGACUAUGAGCUAAAAGCUCAUGGAAGUUUGAGGCAAUAACAGGUCUGUGAUGCCCAUAGAUGUUGAAAGCGGCACGCGCGUCAUACUGUCCAGUAACAGCAAGUUUCAUCCUCGCUCGGAAGAGUUGGGGUAAUCUAUAAAACCGGACGUGGUAGGGAUAGAUCUUUGGAAUUAUAGAUCUUGAACGAAGAAUGCCUAGUAAGUGCAAGUCAUCAACUUGUGCUGAUUACGUCCCUGUCCUUUGUACACACCGCCCGUCGCUCCUACCGAUUGAGCGAUAUGGUGAACUUUAUGAACUGUUGAGCCCCUCGUGGACUUUACGGAAGUCAGUAACCCUACUCGUCUAUAAGGGGAGAGGAAAAGGUCGCUCUUUUCAG
rnacentral:rRNA from 1 species